UACAGAGGGUGCAAGCGUUAAUCGGAAUUAUUGGGCGUAAAGGGCUUGUAGGCGGUUUUUUAAGUUAGGUGUGAAAUCCCUGGGCUUAACCUGGGAAGAGCAGCUGAUACUGGAAGACUAGAGUAUGACAGAGGAGUGGGGAAUUCCUGGUGUAGCAGUGAAAUGCGUAGAGAUCAGGAGGAACAUCAGUGGCGAAGGCGCCACUCUGGGUUAAUACUGACGCUGAGGAGCGAAGGCGUGGGGAUCAAACAGG
rnacentral:rRNA from 1 species